CUGGGCUUCACCUGUGAGUCAUCGCGAGAAAAUCCGAGGAAGAAAAUAGUGAAACAUUUAAAGGAACAAUUUGGUGUGACGUGAUCAUAGGUAAUAGUGGUUGAUCGGUAUUUCUUAUGCUGCGCCUUAUUGCAGUGGGGGCAGAAUUCAGUUAACACUCUUGGUCAAAAUUGUAUAGAUGGCGACCCGGGGCCUCGUCACUCCGUCCCAGAUCCAACAGAUCCCUAAACAAGAUUCCAAGUGACAGAAACAACAGCAGAGAGUGGUGGAAGCAGGACUGUUACGAUCUCUGAGACGGCGGGACAUCUUUGCUCUCUGUGAUGUUGUAGGCGAACAUUAACGUCUUCAGUGCGUGCGAUUUAUGAUUUAUGAAGCUUAUAAAAUGACUGGCGUUAGGAGUAUCACAGAAAAUAUUGCAUCACAAAUUUAAUUUCUCGUCUCAUAAAUCUAGCUGACUUAAAAUCCCUUAAAUCCAGUCUCGUUUAAAUCAAAUUUUAAAAGAGAGGAACUAACGAAUGAAUUAUCGAUCUGAUUACUUGCAAUCUAGCUUAAACGGUCACAGUAACACCACUCUAUCUGAAAACACUUGCCUUAGAAUACUAAGUGUGAAAAAUAAAUUCAUUUUCCUCAGCGAAUAUCUUUCAACUGACCUUACCCGCCACCAAGCAUUAUUCAAGAGAGAGAAAAACAAGAGGGCCGCCAAAUUAGUAAGUCUGUUUUUCUCUAAUUACCAAAUGCUGUAGGUACUUCUAAUUUACAUAUGAAAAAAUGGCCUUGACUAAAGGUACCUAAAAUGACCAUAUUUCUGAUGCAGGUUACAUUUUUUUUUUUUUUUUUUUUAAUCAAUUAUAGGUUACAAGAACAUUCCUUCCAGUGUACAGCAUGAAACCCUGAAAUUCGCCCUGAUACUGACAAAAAUCAUAUCCAUAUAUUCAAGCGUCAAGUAGGCUGUAUCUAAGGCACCUAAUCGGAGACAGUGGAGAGGCAUCAUAACCCCACCUUCAACAACAAAGGAUGAAACACUGAUAACACGGAUAUCAAAGGUUCAUUUUGAAGAGACUUUGUAGAACGAUACCGAUAUGAUCUUCUGAAGACCGUCAGUCAUAUAUCUAGGUUAGAUUGUGUUUGGGACUAAAGCAACAAGCAACUACGACAUUGGAAAUGAAGUAACGGCAUGAAGAACAUGACUUCUUACAUUUUCCUGUUUUUCUCUUUGUUGCUUCUUUUAUAACCUUUUUGACAAGAAUCCUCUAUAGUAACAUCUUUGUAUAUGACAACUUCCCCCAAACGUAAUAAACCCAUAUAUCGACGUGUCUUUGCCUACAGUGAAGACGAAGAUGAACAUCCUACCACGACGAGGGAACAGGGUGACGUGCCAUGUCUGCAAUGCUGCCAGAUGACCAUGAUUCAUUCCUUAAUUAGAAUAAAUUGAUAAUGCAA